rnacentral:rRNA from 1 species
UUGGAGGGCAAGUCUGGUGCCAGCAGCCGCGGUAAUUCCAGCUCCAAUAGCGUAUAUUAAAGUUGUUGCAGUUAAAAAGCUCGUAGUUGAAUUUCGGGGUUAGUAGGUUGGUCAUGCCACUGGUAUGUACUGGUCUCACUGAUUCCUCCUUCCUGAUGAGCCGUAAUGCCAUUAAUUUGGUGUUGCGAGGAAUCUGGACUGUUACUUUGAAAAAAUUAGAGUGUUUAAAGCAAGCUAACGCUUGAAUACAUUAGCAUGGAAUAAUGAAAUAGGACGUUCGAUCCUAUUUUGUUGGUUUCUAGGAUUGACGUAAUGAUUAAUAGGGAUAGUUGGGGGCAUUAGUAUUCAAUUGUCAGAGGUGAAAUUCUUGGAUUUAUUGAAGACUAACUACUGCGAAAGCAUUUGCCAAGGAUGUUUUCAUUAAUCAAGAACGAAAGUUAGGGGAUCGAAGACGAUCAGAUACCGUCGUAGUCUUAACCAUAAACUAUGCCGACUAGGGAUCGGAUGAUGUUAAUUUUUUAAUGACUCAUUCGGCGCCUUACGGGAAACCAAAGUGUUUGGGUUC